CCUACGGGCGGCAGCAGUGGGGAAUAUUGGGCAAUGGGCGAAAGCCUGACCCAGCAACGCCGCGUGAAGGAAGAAGGCUCUCGGGUUGUAAACUUCUUUUGACAGGGAAGAGCAGAAGACGGUACCUGUCGAAUAAGCCACGGCUAACUACGUGCCAGCAGCCGCGGUAAUACGUAGGUGGCAAGCGUUGUCCGGAUUUACUGGGGGUAAAGGGCGUGUAGCCGGGCUGACAAGUCAGAUGUGAAAUCCGGGGGCUCAACCCCCGAACUGCAUUUGAAACUGUUGGUCUUGAGUAUCGGAGAGGCAGGCGGAAUUCCUAGUGUAGCGGUGAAAUGCGUAGAUAUUAGGAGGAACACCAGUGGCGAAGGCGGCCUGCUGGACGACAACUGACGGUGAGGCGCGAAAGCGUGGGGAGCAAACAGGAUUAGAUACCCCUGUAGUC
rnacentral:rRNA from 1 species